rnacentral:rRNA from 1 species
UGGGGAAUAUUGCACAAUGGGCGAAAGCCUGAUGCAGCAACGCCGCGUGAGUGAAGAAGUAUCUCGGUAUGUAAAGCUCUAUCAGCAGGGAAGAAAAUGACGGUACCUGACUAAGAAGCCCCGGCUAACUACGUGCCAGCAGCCGCGGUAAUACGUAGGGGGCAAGCGUUAUCCGGAUUUACUGGGUGUAAAGGGAGCGCAGACGGCACUGCAAGUCUGAAGUGAAAGCCCGGGGCUCAACCCCGGGACUGCUUUGGAAACUGUAGAGCUAGAGUGCUGGAGAGGCAAGCGGAAUUCCUAGUGUAGCGGUGAAAUGCGUAGAUAUUAGGAAGAACACCAGUGGCGAAGGCGGCUUGCUGGACAGUAACUGACGUUCAGGCUCGAAAGCGUGGGGAGCAAA